CACCAGGCUUGGUAGGCUUACCACCGCUGCUCACGAAUAUUCCUCCCGUUUUGCCACAUAGAAAUCCAAUCCGAGUUCGUCUACAGCUGAUUCAGAGGGGACCAGGCCUUCUGCAAUGAGACAGUAUUCUGCUCUGUCACCCAGGCUGGAAUGCAGUGGUGCAAUCAUAGCUCACUGCAACCUCGACCUCCUGGACUCAAGUGAUCCUCCCACCUCAGCUUCCCAAGUAGCCUGGACUACGCACACACCACCAAGCCUGGCUAAUUUGUUUUCUUUUAUUUUUUGUAGAGAUGGAGUCUAAGUUUCCCAUUCUACAUUUUUUUUUUUUUUAGCUUUGUGGCAGAGGUCAAGAUAAAUACAUUACAUUAUUGGGGAAACACUGUCAGUUCUUCAAUGAAUAUGUGAAAUAAAGCCUGUUGUGUAUAUAUGUAAUUUUUUGUUUAUUAAAUAUGUCACAAAAUAA
rnacentral:lncRNA from 1 species